rnacentral:lncRNA from 1 species
GGCGGCUCGGCGCAAUGUGAAAAAGACCCGAGCUCGGGGAGUGAGCGCCUGUCUCUUUAAAUGCCACGGGCUGCACUCCCGCCCGGGAGCCGGGAGCCGGAUCUACAAUCCCGUCCCUCCCGCUCCAGUGCUUGUUGCUCGCCCGGCCGGAGCGGGAGCUGUUGCUGCCCGGCUGCGAGGCUGCGGUCUUCUCCUCCUCGCGCCCCACCUCCCCUGAGAGCUGGCUGAGGAGGUGCAGCAGCCCCAGCUGGCGGGAGGAGGCGCGGUGUGAACAAGGAUUGCCCCCCGCCUUCAAGUAUCGGGGCGCUACGCAGCCGCUGGGGAAAGACAUGCCCCCAGUCUACCCGCUGCGCUGCCCUCUGCCCAGCCUCGCUGCCGCCCGCGCCGGGAGAGGAGGGACUGCGGAGCCUACACCUUCAAACUCGCCCUAGAAGUCCCGGGGCGCGGCAGGGAGCCCUUCCCCAGGCCCCACGGCCUCCACCUCUCCGCGGGAAUAAGACUUUAGAACUGUUUUGUACUGUGAAUUACGGAUGCUCUUUGAAGGAAAGAAAUAUCGAUUCUAAUGUUCUUCAGAAGCUGGCAGGGAUAAGCAGGACAUCGACUGGAACGUAUGCUAAAUGAAAGCAGACAAAUUUCUAUUUUCUUACCUGAGCAAAUAUUUUAUUGAAACGCUUCUGUAUGUCAAAGGAGUCCACAACUUCAGCUACACAACUUUUUGUAUUGAAAGAACUCAUACUUUUUGUAGCUUUUAUUUCACAUUUAAUUUAAAAUGACUUUUAGCACUAAAAUGUCUAGAAGAUUUUACUCCAGACCUAUAAGGAAAUGUUUAGUUUUUAUGAAAAAUGACAAGUCAGUGGUUAAACUUCUCAUGUCUUUGGUGCUUUGGCCCUAAUAGCACUGGACAACACCACGACCACAUGGAAACAUAUUUUUGGAAGCAAAACUUUAAUUUUGUAUAACGUAUGCUAUGGAGAGCUAAGAAAAUUUAAGGACUACUUGUUUUCUAUUUUUGUUUUCUUAAUAAAAUGGAAUCCACUGUGUUGAAGACUCUUAAU